rnacentral:lncRNA from 1 species
UAGAAUGGAAACAGAUCUUAUUGGCAUUUCAGAUUUGGAUUUAGUUUAUGGAAGAUUGGGGUUGACAUUCGAUUAGGGUUUAUAUUUCUAUGUAGGGCUUAGAGAUAAGUGGCUAGGGUUUAGUUUAUGAAAGAUUAGGGUUGACAUUGAGUUAGGGUAUAUACUUCCAUGUAGGGUUUAGUAAAUUAAGAUUGAGAUGAGAUUAGGGUUAUAUUUCCGUGUAGGGUUUAGUGAUUACCUUCUUCCCUGUAAUCAUAGAUACCUCAAAAUUUGAACAACAUAUAUGUAAUGUGCUAUAUCGUUUGUUACAUUUUCUAUUCUAUAUGAUCAUGUAGAAUGAAAAUGCAUGUUACUUACAUUUCGAAAUUUGGAUUUAGUUUAUGAAAGAUUGGGGUUGAUAUUGGAUUAGGGUUUAUAUUUUCAUGUAGGGUUUAGUGAUUAGUGGCUAGGAGUUAGUUUAUGAAAGAUUGGGGUUGACAUUGGAUUAGGAUUUAUAUUCCCGCGUAGGGUUUACUGAAUAGUUGAUAUGGUUUAAUUCAUGUAUGAUUGUGGUUGACAUUGAGUUAGGGUAUAUGGAAGAUUGGGGUUGACAUUCGAUUAGGGUUUAUAUUUCUAUGUAGGGCUUAGAGACAAGUGGCUAGGGUUUAGUUUAUGAAAGAUUAGGGUUGACAUUGAGUUAGGGUAUAUACUUCCAUGUAGGGUUUAGUAAAUUAAGAUUGAGAUGACAUUAGGGUUAUAUUUCCGUGUAGGGUUUAGUGAUUACCUUCUUCCCUGUAAUCAUAAAUACCUCAAAAUUUGAGCAAUAUAUAU